GAUCAAGCUACAAAGGGCGCACGGUGAAUGCCCUGGCACUAGGAGCCGAUGAAGGACGUGAUAAGCUGCGAUAAGCUUCGAGUAGGUGCAAAUAACCUGUGAUUCGAAGAUGUCCGAAUGGGGAAACCCGGCAGGCUAACGCCUGUCACUAUAUGCUGAAUACAUAGGUAUAUAGAGGUAGACUCGGGGAACUGAAACAUCUAAGUACCCGAAGGAAGAGAAAGAAAAAUCGAUUUCCUGAGUAGCGGCGAGCGAAACGGAAAGAGCCCAAACCAGGAACUUGUUCCUGGGGUUGAGGAUAGAACAUAACGCUUUGAUUUUCUUAGCCAAAUAUAACUGGAAAGUUAAGCCGCAGAAGGUAAUAGCCCUGUAGGCGAAAAGAAAAGAAAAGUAGUUCUACUCCAGAGUACCACGAGACACGAGAAACCUUGUGGGAAGCAGGGAGGACCAUCUCCCAAGGCUAAAUACUACCUAGUGACCGAUAGUGAAGCAGUACCGUGAGGGAAAGGUGAAAAGAACCCCGGAAGGGGAGUGAAAUAGAACCUGAAACCGUGUGCCUACAAACGGUCGGAGCACUUUAUAUGUGUGACGGCGUGCUUUUGUAGAACGAGCCAGCGAGUUACGAUAUACAGCAAGGUUAAGCACUUAAGGUGUGGAGCCGAAGGGAAACCGAGUCUGAAUAGGGCAACUAGUUGUAUGUCGUAGACCCGAAACCGAGUGACCUAUCCAUGGCCAGGUUGAAGCGAAAGUAAAAUUUCGUGGAGGACCGAACCACGUUGGUGUUGAAAAACCAUGGGAUGAGCUGUGGAUAGCGGAGAAAUUCCAAUCGAACUCGGAGAUAGCUGGUUCUCCUCGAAAUAGCUUUAGGGCUAGCGUCGGGUAAUUAAGUAGUGGAGGUAGAGCACUGAAUGGGCUAGGGGGCAUAGCGCUUACCGAACCCUAUCAAACUCCGAAUGCCAUAUACUUGUAUCCCGGCAGUCAGGCUGCGAGUGAUAAGAUCCGUGGCCAAAAGGGAAACAGCCCAGACCAUCAGCUAAGGUCCCAAAGUGUAAGUUAAGUGGGAAAGGAUGUGGGAUUUCUAAGACAACUAGGAUGUUGGCUUAGAAGCAGCCACUCAUUUAAAGAGUGCGUAAUAGCUCACUAGUCGAGAGAUCCUGCGCCGAAGAUGUACCGGGGCUAAAACUUACCACCGAAGCUAUGGAUGUACACUACGUGUACGUGGUAGAGGAGCUUUCUACACAGGCUGAAGCCAUACCGUAAGGAGUGGUGGACAGUGUAGAAGUGAGAAUGCUGGCAUAAGUAGCGAGAAACAGGUGAGAAUCCUGUUGGCCGAAUAUCUAAGGUUUCCUGGGGAAGGCUCGUCCUCCCAGGGUUAGUCGGGACCUAAGCCGAGGCCGAAAGGCGUAGGUGAUGGACAACUGGUUGAUAUUCCAGUACCACCAAUAUGCGUUUGACAGAUGGGAUGACGCAGGAGGAUAGGAUGUGCACACUAUUGGAUGUGUGUUCAAGCACUUAGGAGGACUAGACAGGAAAAUCCGUUUAGUCAUAACUCUGAGGUGUGAUGAGGAGCCAAUUGAGGCGAAGUAUCUGAUUCCACGCUGCCAAGAAAAGUCUCUAUGGAGUAUGUUGGUGCCCGUACCGCAAACCGACACAGGUAGAUGAGGAGAGAAUCCUAAGGCCGGCGGAAGAAUUACUGCUAAGGAACUCGGCAAAUUGACCCCGUAACUUAGGGAGAAGGGGUGCCUACGAGAGUAGGCCGCAGUGAACAGGCCCAAGCAACUGUUUAUCAAAAACACAGGUCUCUGCUAAAGCGUAAGCUGAUGUAUAGGGGCUGACGCCUGCCCGGUGCUGGAAGGUUAAGGGGAAUGGUUAGUCUUCGGGCGAAGCCAAGAACUUAAGCCCCAGUAAACGGCGGCCGUAACUAUAACGGUCCUAAGGUAGCGAAAUUCCUUGUCGGGUAAGUUCCGACCCGCACGAAUGGCGUAAUGAUUUGGGCACUGUCUCGGCAGUAAAUCCGGUGAAAUUGAAGUGUGAGUGAAGAUGCUCACUACCCGCGGUUGGACGGAAAGACCCCGUAGAGCUUUACUGUAGCUUAGCAUUGAAUUUCGGUAUUGUCUGUACAGGAUAGGUGGGAGACUGAGAAUCAGGGGCGUCAGCUUCUGAGGAGUCGACCUUGGGAUACCACCCUGACAGUAUUGGAAUUCUAACUGGCGGCCAUGAAUCUGGUCACAGGACAUUGCUAGGUGGGCAGUUUGACUGGGGCGGUCGCCUCCUAAAAGGUAACGGAGGCGCCCAAAGGUUCCCUCAGCGCGGUCGGAAAUCGCGCGAAGAGUGUAAAGGCAGAAGGGAGCCUGACUGCGAGACAUACAGGUCGAGCAGGGACGAAAGUCGGGCUUAGUGAUCCGGUGGUUCUGAAUGGAAGGGCCAUCGCUCAACGGAUAAAAGCUACCUCGGGGAUAACAGGCUGAUCUCCCCAAGAGUCCACAUCGACGGGGAGGUUUGGCACCUCGAUGUCGGCUCGUCGCAUCCUGGGGCUGUAGUCGGUCCCAAGGGUUGGGCUGUUCGCCCAUUAAAGCGGCACGCGAGCUGGGUUCAGAACGUCGUGAGACAGUUCGGUCCCUAUCCGCCGUGGGCGCAGGAAAUUUGAGAGGAGCUGUCCUUAGUACGAGAGGACCGGGAUGGACCAACCUCUGGUGCACCAGUUGUCACGCCAGUGGCACAGCUGGGUAGCUAUGUUGGGAAGGGAUAAACGCUGAAAGCAUCUAAGCGUGAAGCCCACCUCAAGAUUAGAUUUCCCAUAGCGUAAGCUAGUAAGACCCCUGGAAGACUACCAGGUUGAUAGGUCAGAGGUGUAAGCGUGGUAACAUGUUAAGCUGACUGAUACUAAUAGGUCGAGGGCUUGAUCAA
rnacentral:rRNA from 1 species